UACGUAGGGGGCAAGCGUUGUCCGGAUUUAUUGGGCGUAAAGAGCGUGUAGGCGGCCAGGUAGGUCUGCUGUGAAAACUCGAGGCUUAACCUCGAGAUGUCGGCGGAAACCAUCUGGCUAGAGUCCGGAAGAGGAGAGUGGAAUUCCUGGUGUAGCGGUGAAAUGCGCAGAUAUCAGGAAGAACACCCGUGGCGAAGGCAGCUCGCUGGGACGUGACUGACGCUGAGACGCGAAAGCGUGGGGAGCAAACAGG
rnacentral:rRNA from 1 species